AACGAACGCUGGCGGCAGGCCUAACACAUGCAAGUCGAACGAGAAGCUUUCUUCGGAGAGUGGAGAGUGGCGCACGGGUGAGUAACGCGUGGGGAUUUGCCUUCUGGUACGGGAUAACGUUUGGAAACGAACGCUAAUACCGUAUGAUAUCUACGGAUUAAAGAUUUAUCGCCAGGAGAUGAACCCGCGUAGGAUUAGAUAGUUGGUGGGGUAAUGGCCUACCAAGUCGACGAUCUUUAGCUGUUCUGAGAGGAAGAUCAGCCACACUGGAACUGAGACACGGUCCAG
rnacentral:rRNA from 1 species